rnacentral:rRNA from 1 species
UACAGAGGUCUCAAGCGUUGUUCGGAUUCAUUGGGCGUAAAGGGUGUGUAGGUGGCGCGCUAAGUCGGGUGUGAAAUUUCGGAGCUUAACUCUGAAACUGCAUUCGAUACUGGCGUGCUUGAGGACUGGAGAGGAGACUGGAAUUCAUGGUGUAGCAGUGAAAUGCGUAGAGAUCAUGAGGAACACCCGUGGCGAAGGCGGCUCUCUGGUACGUGACUGACGCUGAGACGCGAAAGCGUGGGGAGCGAACGGG